UACAGAGGUCCCGAGCGUUGUUCGGAUUCAUUGGGCGUAAAGGGUGCGUAGGCGGUCUUCUAAGUUUGAUGUGAAAUCCCGGGGCUCAACCCUGGCAUGGCAUUGAAUACUGGAGGACUAGAGUACCGGAGAGGAAACUGGAAUUUACGGUGUAGCAGUGAAAUGCGUAGAGAUCGUAAGGAAGACCAGUGGCGAAGGCGAGUUUCUGGACGGUAACUGACGCUGAGGCACGGAAGGCCAGGGGAGCAAACGGG
rnacentral:rRNA from 1 species